rnacentral:rRNA from 1 species
UACGAAGGGGGCUAGCGUUGCUCGGAAUCACUGGGCGUAAAGCGCACGUAGGCGGAUUCCUAAGUCGGGGGUGAAAUCCUGGAGCUCAACUCCAGAACUGCCUUCGAUACUGGGAAUCUUGAGUCCGGAAGAGGUGAGUGGAACUGCGAGUGUAGAGGUGAGAUUCGUAGAUAUUCGCAAGAACACCAGUGGCGAAGGCGGCUCACUGGCCCGGUACUGACGCUGAGGUGCGAAAGCGUGGGGAGCAAACAGG